rnacentral:lncRNA from 1 species
CCUCCUUCCCCUCCUGCCAUUUCAUUUUAUCGCUCCUUGAAGUGGAGGGCAGAUUGUUUUCUUUAAAAAAAAAAAAAAAAAUUCCUGCCCGGUGUGGGUCAUCGCCGCGUUAUUUACAAUCUAGUUACUCGGCAGCGGACGGGGAAGCCAACUCCGGGCUCUUUCCCCUUCGGAUGGACAGAGAGGGCGACCGGGCGGCCCGCGGCAGGAAGGAGGCUUCUUAAUCAUCCACGGUGUAAAGACACACUUCAAGAGGAUCCUUAGAAGUCUUGGACAAGCUUCCCCACACGUGGCAGGUAUGUGUCUACACUGAGUGUGCAAGGAAUGUAACUUGUUUUAUUUUCUGCAGUUAGAUCUAAAUUAUAUUUCAACCCUUCGUGUAACCACGUGGAAGCAAUUUGAGGUUGCAUCCUAAUUCUAGGUAAGACUUUGAAGGUGAGGGGUGACAUAUCUGCUCCUAGGCUGUCAUCUCUCCACGAGUCAUGUUUGUCCUCUUAUCCUUCGUCAGUACUCAUGAGCCACUGCUGAGGCACACCUUGAUCUUCCUUUGAGGAUCUUUUCCUAUCUUUCUCUUGGCUUCUUCCAGAUACUCCGUGGACACGUGAGGGUGUGCUGCUGCUGAACCAGAAGAAAGUCUCUGGGGUGGCUUAGAGCUCUGUGCUCCUUGCAUGACGCUGUGAAGCCCCUGGGCCU